GGGGAAUAUUGCACAAUGGGCGAAAGCCUGAUGCAGCGACGCCGCGUGAGGGAAGAAGGUUUUCGGAUUGUAAACCUCUGUCUUCGGGGACGAUAAUGACGGUACCCGAGGAGGAAGCCACGGCUAACUACGUGCCAGCAGCCGCGGUAAAACGUAGGUGGCAAGCGUUGUCCGGAAUUACUGGGUGUAAAGGGAGCGCAGGCGGGGUGCCAAGUUGGGUGUGAAAACUAUGGGCUCAACCCAUAGCACGAACUCAAAACUGGCGCUCUUGAGUGAUGGAGAGGCAGGCGGAAUUCCCGGUGUAGCGGUGGAAUGCGUAGAUAUCGGGAGGAACACCAGUGGCGAAGGCGGCCUGCUGGACAUUAACUGACGCUGAGGCUCGAAAGUGUGGGGAGCAAAC
rnacentral:rRNA from 1 species